GCAGUAGGGAAUUUUCCACAAUGGACGAAAGUCUGAUGGAGCAACGCCGCGUGAACGAUGAAGGUCUUCGGAUUGUAAAGUUCUGUUGUCAGGGACGAACACGUACCGUUCGAAUAGGGCGGUACCUUGACGGUACCUGACGAGAAAGCCACGGCUAACUACGUGCCAGCAGCCGCGGUAAUACGUAGGUGGCAAGCGUUGUCCGGAUUUAUUGGGCGUAAAGCGCGCGCAGGCGGCUAUGUAAGUCUGGUGUUAAAGCCCGGAGCUCAACUCCGGUUCGCAUCGGAAACUGUGUAGCUUGAGUGCAGAAGAGGAAAGCGGUAUUCCACGUGUAGCGGUGAAAUGCGUAGAGAUGUGGAGGAACACCAGUGGCGAAGGCG
rnacentral:rRNA from 1 species